rnacentral:hammerhead_ribozyme from 1 species
UUCCAGCUCACGAGUCCCAAAUAGGACGAAACGCGCGUCAAACUGUAU